GCUGGUGCAGCGAUGUUUAAUGGCAAUUCGUAUAAACCAAGCCCAUGCACAAGUAGAAAGUGCCCGUGGAGCCGGCAGGAGGCCCCCGCCGCGCUAGAGAACCACAAGCCCGGCCGUGCAGCCCUCCCCGCGGCGCCUUAAAUAGAUUCUUCACUAUACUCUGUAUGUUACAGUAUGUGGGGCGCGGGUUUUCUGGAGCCAGGACCAAAAGAGACGGGGCACGACCAGGAGGGACGAGGAGAGGGGUGUGGGAGCAAGGCGUGGGGAGGAGGGAGGAGGCCUACAGAGGGCUCCAACAAAGGUGAACAGGAAAGCUGCCGACAGGGGCUCCCCCUGCCCCAGAAAGCCCUCUCCCUGUUAAGACUGCACGAGGCGCCCCCAGGGUGGUGAGAAAGGCGGUGGCCAGGUCAUGUGGCCAGUCCCGGCUGGGGAAGCCCUUCCAGCUCCUGGUUCUGCUUCAGUUCCCUCAUCCUG
rnacentral:lncRNA from 10 species